rnacentral:tRNA from 3 species
GCGCCCUUAAUUCAGUGGGAGAAUACCGCAGCCGGAUAUAGCGGGGGCGCUGGUUCAAUUCCAGCAGGGCGUU